rnacentral:sRNA from 1 species
GUUUUUUUGGAUUUUUUUU